rnacentral:lncRNA from 1 species
GGCUUCUGUUAAGGGAAGGUGUUGGUCUCUAAGCAUCAUGGAUUAGGAGAUCCAGCUGGAUUAGGAUAGGGCUUUGUGGUCUCCAUUUUGGAUUUAGGGCCUGGAAAUCCUUAGGAGACAGAGUCUGGUUUCUAGGGCCUACAGCCCUAACACCCGAACCUGGGGGAAUUCUUUUUUUUUUUUAAGAUUUUAUUUAUUUAUUCAUGAUAGACAUAGAGAAAGAGAGAGAGAGAGAGAGAGAGGCAGAAACACAGGCAGAGGGAGAAGCAGGCUCCAUGCAGGGAGCCUGACGUGGGACUCGAUCCCGGGACUCCAGGAUCACGCCCUGGGCUGAAGGCGACGCUAAAGCGCUGAGCCACCCGGCCUGCCCACCUGUGGGAAUUCUUAAUAUUCUGGAUUUUCUUCUCUCCACAGCUCCUCAGUCCCCGGAGCAAGCUCUUUUUUCUGGCUGACCUGGAUUUUAUGGCAAACACACCUACCUGGAGAAAGUGUGCAGCCCUCCCUGUUGAGACACAAGGUGCUGAGUCACAAGGAACUGGAAGGCUCCAGAUGCCCAGGCGUGGCCCUGAGGGUGGUGUGGGCUUUAGUUAUUCCUGAACCCAAGAAACCAUGAAGCUCACAGUUCAUCAUGUCAGUUUCCAAUAUCAACUGAUGUAACUGGUGAUGUUGGUAGUGAUUUAACUGGUGUCUGCACCAACACAGGGACGGACACUUGGACACUCAGAAUUUCCUAACAGAGAAUUCCAACAUUGUCAGAUAAUGUUUGGGGCAAAACUGUUUCUCCAGGUUAUGAUGUAAUCCACACGGAAAUACUCUUAAUCUAAUAUUCUGAAGGAAAACAACCAAAUGAACAUUACUAUUGUUCUUUUGAAAAAUCUAUAGCAUUCUUUGAACAUGUCAAGUCACUGAGAGGGAAUGCAAAAGAGGUAGGUUUAUGGGAGUCUUCACUGAAAAAGCUAAUGAUUUUGAUGGAACAAAAGAAGAUAUACAGAAUUAGAGAAAAUAUAUAAGAGUCAAAGGAAGAAAAUAAAGCAAAGUUUUAAGUUCUCUUUGUUUGAAAGGCAGAGUAGAUGGUGACAGCAACUGUAUUGGCAGUGAGAUAACAUUGUAAGAUGGAAGAUGAAAUCAUGUGUUAAGGCCUGGGGACCUAAUCUGUGGGUCUCACUUCUUCCCUUCCUGCCUCUGAGCCUAACUGUGGACCUCCUGUUAACCUUCUCAUUUUGACCUCAUGUGUUUUCAACCUUGACUCAGAAACAUUUAGCACCAUCUUGGUUUGGUGCCCAGAAACAGAUUUCCUGAAUUCCUGACUCUGUUUCUUGUUAUUUUCAUUUUUUCACCUUGAGGUCUGAUCUUUUCCCAUAAGGGAAGAACUUGGUUUUGACUGCUGACGAUGCCUGACAGUUUGGUUCAGUGCUUCUAGCUCUGGACUACACCCAGAUUAAUUAUCAAUCUGAUUAAUCUGUUAAUGAAUCUGUUUAAUCCUGCUGUAGAGACAUUUUGAAGAGACUGACAGAUUAAGAGAAGAUAAACUCUUUAUGUCAAGAGACAUUGUGGAAGGAUGCUUUUGAUAAGAAUUAUUUAGAGAAUAUGUCUCUGAUGACCCAAAGAGGUGAAAGUUUCUUUAGAUGCCUUUACUUAGCCAUAGAUGGGCAACAGUGUGUGGUCUAGGAAGUUUAGAAUGUAACGUAGCUAGUUAGUGGCAGUAAUAGUACUGGAGCACAGGUCUGAAUGUGAAUGUCUGGUUUAGAUGAAUUUCUAUUAAUCUUGUUCUUUUAUUUUUUUAUUUUUUAUUUUUAAUUUUUUUAAUUUUUUAA